AGCGAACGCUGGCGGCAGGCUUAACACAUGCAAGUCGAACGGGCACUUCGGUGCUAGUGGCAGACGGGUGAGUAACACGUGGGAACGUACCUUUCGGUUCGGAAUAAUUCAGGGAAACUUGGACUAAUACCGGAUACGCCCUUUGGGGGAAAGAUUUAUCGCCGAUAGAUCGGCCCGCGUCUGAUUAGCUAGUUGGUGAGGUAAUGGCUCACCAAGGCGACGAUCAGUAGCUGGUCUGAGAGGAUGAUCAGCCACAUUGGGACUGAGACACGGCCCAAACUCCUACGGGAGGCAGCAGUGGGGAAUAUUGGACAAUGGGCGCAAGCCUGAGCCAGCCAUGCCGCGUGAGUGAUGAAGGCCUUAGGGUUGUAAAGCUCUUUUGUCCGGGAAGAUAAUGACUGUACCGGAAGAAUAUGCCCCGGCUAACUUCGUGCCAGCCGCCGCAGUAACAC
rnacentral:rRNA from 1 species